GGACCCCUGCUCCGCUUACUUCAUCCAUUUUUUUUCGCACUGUUCGCCGCCACAGACUCUAAGUCACCAAUAUAGCAAAUGCAGAACCAAGGGAAAGUAUCCAUCUGUAAGUGGUGUCUCUGAUAAAUAAACUACAUUUUGCCUGCCGCCAGUUCCUGUUGAACAAUUGUACUUCAACUCCCAGCGUGCACCUCGCUCUCCCCAGCGCGGGAACUACAAGAUCCAGCAUGCCCUGCACCCCACAUUCUGCAUUGCCCCUGACGCCCGGAGGCCCCAAAUGUGAUUUCAGAGGACUCACUCCAAUUGCCAACCACAAAAGAGUUAAAAUUGGACAAGAUGUUCAUUUCGGUUCAACAAAUACACGGAGUCCUUUGUUAAAAUCUUACUAUGAAAGUUAAAAAAUAAGACACAAAAAAGCUGAGCUGCGCUGGUUGAAGAGGAUAUGAAGGACAGAAGCCCACUGUACAAAUUUGACCAGUCAAGAUGACCUAUCUGAGGAGGAGACAUUUGUGCAGAAACCUGAAUGAAACGAGGGACUGGGCCUUCUGGGAUCUACAGAAAAAUGCUGUUGCAAAAGCUCAGACGUGGAAAGAGUUUGCCAAGUCUGAGGAAUGGGAAGAAAGCCAGAGUGGACGAAGCACAGUGAGCAAAGAGAAGAAUGACGGGAAAUGUAGCUGGAGAGGUAACCGGGGUCAGGUUGUGUGCAGCUCUGUAAACUAUGGUAAAAACUAUUUUAUUCUGUGAACUGAGACUAUUUGGGAUUUGAAAGCAGGAAAGUGACAUAAUAGCACUUAAGUUUUAAAAGAAUCACUGUGGUUGCCAUGGGUUGUGGAGGUGGGGGAGGAAUUGGGCCAGAGUGGAGGCAGGAAAACCAAUGAAAAGACUUGGAUUCCUAUUAUGGAUGUCAAACAGAACUGUAGAUUGCCAAGCCCAUCUCCUGCCCCCACCCCUCCAUUCCUCAUUCUUUCCCAUCUCAGUAAUGGCACUACCAUCCUCCAAGUUGAUUAUUUCCUUUCCCAUAUCUCCUAUUUCCUCUUUGACCAGUAACUUCUUUGACCUAAUCUGAAGAAGGCCAAAAAUCUAUCCUCUCUUUCCAUCUCCACUGUCACUUCCUUCAGCCAAGGUACCUAACAGACCUUACUAAUUAGCCCUUAUUUUCCAUUAGCUCCUUCAUGCUUGCCUUCCUUAGAAGUUCAAAGCCCUUUUCUUUUGUCUUGUCACUUAUCUAGGAAUUCUAAACAGUCCUUUAAAUUACAAAUUCUAAACAAUCCUUUAAAUUACACAUCUCUGAGUGCUCCCAUGCCAUGGUAAUAAACUUCUGCUUGUUUUUCUCUUGUUAAUCUGUCUUUUGUCACUCUAAUUUAUAGAGCCCCAGCUAAUGAACAUAAGAUGGGUAGAGAGGAAAAUAAUUUUUCUUCCUCCCCUACACUGCUCAGCAAAUAUUUUGGAAUAAAUGAGGCAUUAUUCCCCUUUUCAGAUGAGGAAAGUGAUACCACGGAAGUUAGGUAACUAAUUCAAAGUGACACAGUCUGUAAUAGAGCCAGGAUUUGUUCCCAAAACCCAAACCUGUGUCCUU